AAUGAACGUUGGCGGCGUGGAUUAGGCAUGCAAGUCGAGCGAGAACCCGCAAGGGGGACAGCGGCAAACGGGGUAGUAAUGUGUCGGAACGUGCCCUCUGGACGGGGAUAGCGGCGGGAAACUGCCGGUAAUACCCGAUGAACUCGAGAGAGCAAAGGUGUGAUUCCGCCGGAGGAGCGGCCGACAUGGUAUUAGCUAGUUGGCGGGGUAACGGCCCACCAAGGCUGUGAUGGCUAGGGGAUGUGAGGGCAUGAUCCCCACCAUUGGGACUGAGACACUGCCCAGACACCUACGGGUGGCUGCAGUCGAGAAUCUUCGUCAAUGGGCGAAAGCCUGAACGAGCGACGCCGCGUGCGGGAUGAAGGCCCUUGGGUUGUAAACCGCUGUCGAGGGGGAUGAAGGCAUUCAGGUACUCCUGAAUGUUUGACAGAGCCCUGGAGGAAGCACGGGCUAAGUUCGUGCCAGCAGCCGCAGUAACAC
rnacentral:rRNA from 1 species